GACCAAGUUUAUUACAAUUUUCCUUAUAUGCACACCAGCUUGGGGCAUUACCCUCACUAUGCACAGCAAGUUGGGCCCUUGUUAUUUUAAACAUCAAGGAAAUGUCAAAUUGCUUUGGCAUUUGCUCCGAGGGAUCAGGUACGCCCGAUAUUUCUUCUUGUCGAUGAAGCUCAACACUCAAAUAAAGGAGCAAACACAGUAACCAGUAUGUUGCAUCACCAUGGUCUUGGAGAAGUAUUGCAGUGGACAAAACAAGAACAACAAAUUCAUAAGGAUGGACAAAGACAAAGACAAUCCUGGUACUGUAUUCCUGCCAGAGACUUUUUCAACGUCCUCAAAGCUUGUGCUACAGUGGAUCCAAAUGCUCUUCCUACUUCGAUUCCUCCCAGGGGUCUAGAUGCACACAGGCAAGCAGUGGUAUCUGUAUGAAGAUGUGCUCCAUAUUGUUUGAACAAGGAAAGUUGCCCAAAUCCAGUUGUCUAAAAUCCCCUCAUCAAGAUAGAAUCUCCUGAUGACAUUGACUUGGAAGUGCAGGAAAUGCAAAAUGACUGGACACAAUAACUCAAAUUGUAGACACUAGUUGUUAGAUAUUAUCUUUCAUGACCUUUCUACUUGUUAAAAAUUAUUGAUAUUUUAAUUUGUUAUUUGCCAUUGUUGCCUGAUACAUGUAAUUCAUUGUUUUAAUGUUGUUUUUUUUUUUCUUCAAUAUGGACCUAUUAAUUGAUAAAAACAUGUACUGUAAAAGCGCAAAUAUUCGUGGGGGAUUAAAUUUCGUUUAUUUCAUUGUUAACAAAAUUCAACGAAAUUAAAUCCCACACGAAAUUUUAUCUGACUAUAUAUUAAAUAGGGUUAGUUUUAAAACAACAAAAUUAAAUGCACACGAAAUUAUUUUUGAUGACAAAACAACGAAAUUUUAUGCCCACGAAAAUCUGUGCUUCUACAGU